UACUACUGUCUCAAUACAGGUUAGUUACUACUGUCUCAAUACAGGUUAGUUACUACUGUCUCAAUACAGGUUAGUUACUACUGUCUCAAUACAGGUUAGUUACUACUGUCUCAAUACAGGUUAGUUACUACUGUCUCAAUACAGGUUAGUUACUACUGUCUCAAUACAGGUUAGUUACUACUGUCUCAAUACAGGUUAGUUACUACUGUCUCAAUACAGGUUAGUUACUACUGUCUCAAUACAGGUUAGUUACUACUGUCUCAAUACAGGUUAGUUACUACUGUCUCAAUACAGGUUAGUUACUACUGUCUCAAUACAGGUUAGUUACUACUGUCUCAAUACAGGUUAGUUACUACUGUCUCAAUACAGGUUAGUUACUACUGUCUCAAUACAGGUUAGUUACUACUGUCUCAAUACAGGUUAGUUACUACUGUCUCAAUACAGGUUAGUUACUACUGUCUCAAUACAGGUUAGUUACUACUGUCUCAAUACAGGUUAGUUACUACUGUCUCAAUACAGGUUAGUUACUACUGUCUCAAUACAGGUUAGUUACUACUGUCUCAAUACAGGUUAGUUACUACUGUCUCAAUACAGGUUAGUUACUACUGUCUCAAUACAGGUUAGUUACUACUGUCUCAAUACAGGUUAGUUACUACUGUCUCAAUACAGGUUAGUUACUACUGUCUGAACAAAAUGUAUUCGGUAGCAUGUUUUUCAUUUCUGUAUGUUGAGGGAAGGUCGGAGGGGUGUAGUGUUACGUUAAAAUAAAUAUAUAUAGUUUUUUAAACGUGAAACUUGUGGUGUAAUUUAUUUGACAACAUGUCGCUCACUUGUUUUGCUAACAACAGAAACUGAUUAACGGAUACUUUUCC